rnacentral:rRNA from 1 species
GACGAACGCUGGCGGCGUGCUUAACACAUGCAAGUCGAACGAUGAAGCCGGAGCUUGCUCCGCCGGAUCAGUGGCGAACGGGUGAGUAACACGUGGGCAACCUGCCCCUAACUUUGGGAUAACUACUCGAAAGAGUAGCUAAUACCGGAUAUGAAGUCUGUAGGCAUUUAUGGAUUUGGAAAGUUUUUCGGUUAGGGAUGGGCCCGCGGCCUAUCAGCUUGUUGGUGAGGUAGUGGCUCACCAAGGCGACGACGGGUAGCCGGCCUGAGAGGGCGACCGGCCACACUGGGACUGAGACACGGCCCAGACUCCUACGGGAGGCAGCAGUGGGGAAUAUUGCGCAAUGGGCGAAAGCCUGACGCAGCAACGCCGCGUGCGGGAUGAAGGCCUUCGGGUUGUAAACCGCUUUCAGCAGGGAAGAAGCGAAAGUGACGGUACCUGCAGAAGAAGCACCGGCUAACUACGUGCCAGCAGCCGCCGUA